CACUUCCCUUCUCCUCACUUCCCUUCCCUUCCCUUCUCCUCACUUCCCUUCCCCUUUCCUUACCUCCAGAACAUUCUUGAUGUUUGUAGAGGUGAAAAAAGUGAAGGAAGUGUAUAUACAUAUCUUUUUAACAAUCAGUGUAAAUACACAACUGUACUCGAUGCCAUUAAUGGAAAAAUAUUUAAAAGAUAAAAACAGGCCAAGCCCACUUGCUCAGUGAUAUACAUUUCAGAGCAUCUGCAAGUAAUCCGUUGUCAGUCAAAAGUAACAAGUGAUUGCUGUGCAGUUUUGAUCUUUGGUUGCCAAACCGAUCCUAAUUCAUGAAUGGACAUAAUGGUUAUUUUUCAAACUGAUUUUCAUUUAGUUUUGUAUUUGCAUUCUUUUUCUUCUAGUCGAACGUAUCUUAGCCCAUCAUCUGACUUUUGGCAUGUGAAUUUCCGCAGUGUUUCUUUUUUGAGUCUUAGGAUGGAGCUAACAUGUUUGAGUUAAUCAUACCAGCCAGUUCAGGAAGAACACCAGAACAUUAACUUCGUGGUUGGAUUCAGUCAGAUGUACCCAGUGGGCUUAAAGGAACUGCUGUGCCAAUGUAAAGCUGUACAGCUGUCAUCAGUCUAUGGGGGUACUCCAGGCAAGACUGAUGGGAUCAGCUGACUUUUUUCCAUACCCAAGGAUGCUUCUGAGAAUGCAUUAUGUUCUAGCUAAGCUGUGAGUUUUCUAAAAGGGCCAUGUAGUUGAGAUAUAUCUAUAUUUUUGGCAAUGGUUGACUGAGAGUUGAUUGAUGGAUUGACUGAAUUGUUUGAAUAAUAAAAAUAACCCUUCCUUCCCACCUUAAGAACAAAAGUCAGUUCCAAGACAGCGUUUCCCUCCAGAUAACUGUGAACCUUUUGCAUCCAUGUCCAAACACAGCAUGUUUUUGUGUAGUACUGUCACGCGUCGUGGUGCCUUUGCAACCUGGCUGACUUCUGCGUGUCCUGGUUCUUCUCUGCUAGAGGCACGAGAGGGAUCUGGCACAAUCAUCCUGGAAGGUAAAAGUCUGCUUUUGCUGAGCAAUCAAACUGAACAGUGAAACGCUGUGGAAAGAAAGGAUGAAGCCUUUGGAUGACUUCCCACAUCUGGCAUUUUUCUCUCUCUUUGGAUAAUUUGUUUUAACAUUGAUGUUCUUACUGUUUCUCUUUGAAAACCUAAAACAUUCUUUCCAACUUUGCCUUGUAGUUAAAGCCACGACUGGUGCACAUCUACUUCAGUCAAAUGUUGAUGAUGUCAAUUCUUAACGAGUCUUUAUACAGCUCAUAAAGGCUUUGAUAACCGUACUAGCUCUCUCUUCAUUUUGGAUUUAUGAACUGAUAUACAUAUAUAUAUCUAUAUAUGUGUGUGUGUGUGUGCGUGUGUGCGUGUGCAUAUAUUAAAAAAAAAAUGAAAAUGACAUUUUAAAUGUGAAGGUAUGAACUGGAACUAAUAGUAACCAGGGAAUUUAAAAUUCAGGCUUGUUCUUUGGAGCUUGAUCAUGGAAACAACAACAACAACAACAAAAAAAAAAAAAGGAAAAGAGAAUGGUUACUAUGUGCUGAAGUUUUAAUUUCACUGGUUUUUGUUAGUUUGGGUAAAAAUGAAGUUUUAAUGUCAUUUUAAGUACAGGUUUCUAAGAAUAACAAUAGUUUCCUUAUUUUUUUAACAGGAAAAAAAGGUCAGAAAGUUGCAAAAGAAGUAUUAAUUAUAAUACUUAACUCUUACAUAGUGCUUUAAGGGACAUAUUCUGCUCUUGGUUGUAGCAGAGUAAAUGAAUGUAAAAAUAAUUUGAAACAGGCAGAAGUGUUGAGAUUGACUUCACGUCAGUACAGGAUCAUACUCUUAAGACAUUUGCGUUCCAGUCAGAUGCAAUCUACCCUGGCACAGAGGACCACCAAAAAAGUUUAAAUCGCUUUGCUUACACCUAAGUGGGAGUUAGAUGGUACAAAUACCUUUGUUGCAAGUCUUGCUGCUCUGAGAGCAGAAUCCUUCCCCCUCUUCCAGACCAUGUGCAAAAAAUCUCUGAAGUAUUUUAGCUGACAGAUCAGAGUUUCCUGUCCCAUUAGAUUCUGCUAAAAGCUAUGAGAUAGAGUUCUCCAAGGAACUCUUUGCAUGCCAGAAGGACACUGAAGAGGAAGAAUGGCGAAGUCAGACCUAUCAGUGCUCUGAAAUUUGAGUUGGUGGAUCUCAGUCCAGUGCCUUAUGGGCAUGUGUCCACAACACCAAAACCACCUUUCAGUCAUGCACAAUGGAAAACUGGGUCCUCAGCUAUGUUAGAAUCAGUACAGAAAAACAUUGCUAUUGUUAGAACACAGCCACUUCAAUUUGGCUUGGAGUUUGGCUUCAGCACAGUAUUACUGCUGUUAUCAUUGUUUUUGCAUUCUCAGCAGGAGAGGCCAAGGACUGAAUAGCCCCAAAGACUUGGACUUGCCUCUUACAGAGCUAUGCUCUGGAGCAAGGAAAGUUGGAGGGCAGUGGAGAGGAAAUUUCUGCCGUUGCAAUCCUUGUGUUUACUGUUCAUUGGACAAACUGAAGUCCUUGGUACAUUUCACCAGCACUGAAUUUAUGAGAAGAAUUAAUAUAUCUCUACAUAUCUAAUAUAUAAUAUAUACAUAUUAUACAAACAACCCCUUCUAUUAUGAUUUCUUUUUAUUGAAAGUAUUGAUAUGCUUGCAAAAACUGUUCAUAGAAUCAUAGAAUGCCCUGGGUUGAAAAAGACAUCAAAGAUCAUCUAGUUUCAACCCCACUGCCAUGGGCAGGAUCGCCAGCCACCAGACCAGGCUGCCCAGAGCCACAUCCAGCCUGGCCUUGUUCCCCUUAGUCGGUCUGACUUUUUCAUUGUUACUGGAAAGAUCACUCUUCAAAUGUACAGAGUUAUCUAAACCAGGUUCUGAUGCCAUCGCACAAAUUGCUGUCUCAGAAAUCUUUAUGUUGAAUGUAAGCUGAAAUGUUGGACGUGUGCAGCCAUCUCUCACUGUGGCUGCAAUGUCUCUUCAUUCCAGAAUGGAAGAAACCCAAAGCUGGUUUGCUUCUAGGUGUCUGUAAAUAUUGAUUGAGUGCAACAGUGCUUUGUUUGAUUUUCACUGUGAAAUAUAUUUUGGAGCUAGAAAGGCAUAUGUUAUUAACAGUAUGUAAUUAAAAGAGAAACAAAAGUG